rnacentral:rRNA from 1 species
GGUUAAGUUAGAAAGGGCGCACGGUGGAUGCCUUGGCACUAGGAGCCGAAGAAGGACGGGACUAACACCGAUAUGCUUUGGGGAGCUGUACGUAAGCGUUGAUCCAGAGAUUUCCGAAUGGGGGAACCCACUAUCUUUAGUCGGAUAGUAUCCUUACGUGAAUACAUAGCGUGAGGAAGGCAGACCCAGGGAACUGAAACAUCUAAGUACCUGGAGGAAGAGAAAGAAAAAUCGAUUUCCUGAGUAGCGGCGAGCGAAACGGAAAGAGCCCAAACCAAGAAGCUUGCUUCUUGGGGUUGUAGGACACUCUAUACGGAGUUACAAAAGAAAGUUAUAAAUGAAGCGGUCUGGAAAGGCCCGCCAAAGACGGUAACAGCCCGGUAGUUGAAAUAGCUUUCCCUCCAGAGUGGAUCCUGAGUACGGCGGAACACGUGAAAUUCCGUCGGAAUCCGGGAGGACCAUCUCCCAAGGCUAAAUACUCCCUAGUGACCGAUAGUGAACCAGUACCGUGAGGGAAAGGUGAAAAGCACCCCGGAAGGGGAGUGAAACAGUUCCUGAAACCGUGUGCCUACAAGUAGUUAGAGCCCGUUAAUGGGUGAUAGCGUGCCUUUUGUAGAAUGAACCGGCGAGUUACGAUUUGUUGCAAGGUUAAGCGGAAAAAGCGGAGCCGUAGCGAAAGCGAGUCUGAAUAGGGCGCAUAAGUAACAGGUCGUAGACCCGAAACCAGGUGAUCUACCCAUGUCCAGGAUGAAGGUAAGGUAAUACUUACUGGAGGUCCGAACCCACG